GAUGAACGCUGGCGGCGUGCCUAAUACAUGCAAGUCGAGCGAACGGACGAGAAGCUUGCUUUUCUGAUGUUAGCGGCGGACGGGUGAGUAACACGUGGAUAACCUACCUAUAAGACUGGGAUAACUUCGGGAAACCGGAGCUAAUACCGGAUAAUAUUUUGAACCGCAUGGUUCAAAAGUGAAAGACGGUCUUGCUGUCACUUAUAGAUGGAUCCGCGCUGCAUUAGCUAGUUGGUAAGGUAACGGCUUACCAAGGCAACGAUGCAUAGCCGACCUGAGAGGGUGAUCGGCCGCACUGGAACUGAGACACGGUCCAGACUCCUACGGGAGGCAGCAGUAGGGAAUCUUCCGCAAUGGGCGAAAGCCUGACGGAGCAACGCCGCGUGAGUGAUGAAGGUCUUCGGAUCGUAAAACUCUGUUAUUAGGGAAGAACAUAUGUGUAAGUAACUGUGCACAUCUUGACGGUACCCAAUCAGAAAGCCACGGCUAACUACGUG
rnacentral:rRNA from 1 species